CAUAGAACUACUCAUGGACUGUCUUUUCACAAAACCAGUAUUUCUGGCCCUCAGGGUAUGGUCCAGUUCAACUUUCCAAAUACAUACAUAGACAGGUCAGAUCAGUCAAGCAGAGAGAAGACUGGAAGAUAGGACAAAAUCCCUUUUUACUAGCCGUUGGGAGCUGGAAUUGAAAUUACCAUCCCUCUGUGUUGAAGAAGUCCUAAGGCUGCUAUUUCUACUGGACUUGGGGCAAGAGAUGUUGUCGGGGGUCUUGCCUUUGACAUGGAUUCCAGCUACAUGCUCCUCAAAGGUAAGGGCUGUAUUAUUCACCUUUUCUUGUAUUCACCCUUACAGCUGUGCAAGUCAGCCAGUGUUCAAUAAAGAAAUAUA